AUGGAGUUAAUCCAGUAAGACCCCUUAGAGAUGAUGAGGUUGAUAGGUCUCGGGUGGAAGCGUGGCGACACGUGGAGCUGAGAGAUACUAAUCGGUCGAGGACUUAUCCUA
rnacentral:ncRNA from 1 species